rnacentral:rRNA from 1 species
AGUGAACGCUGGCGGUAGGCCUAACACAUGCAAGUCGAACGGCAGCACAGUAAGAGCUUGCUCUUACGGGUGGCGAGUGGCGGACGGGUGAGGAAUACAUCGGAAUCUACUUUUUCGUGGGGGAUAACGUAGGGAAACUUACGCUAAUACCGCAUACGACCUACGGGUGAAAGCAGGGGAUCUUCGGACCUUGCGCGAUUGAAUGAGCCGAUGUCGGAUUAGCUAGUUGGCGGGGUAAAGGCCCACCAAGGCGACGAUCCGUAGCUGGUCUGAGAGGAUGGUCAGCCACACUGGAACGGGGACACGGUCCAUACUCCUACGGGAGGCAGCAGUGGGGAAUAGUGGACAAUGGGCGCAAGCCUGAUCCAGCCAUACCGCGUGGGUGAAGAAGGCCUUCGGGUUGUAAAGCCCUUUUGUUGGGAAAGAAAAGCAGCAGGUUAAUACCCCGCUGUUCUGACGGUACCCAAAGAAUAAGCACCGGCUAACUUCGUG